UGGAGUGGCAUCAUUUAAAAGCUAAAACAAUGCAAAGUACAUUGUGACCAGCAAAGUAUAACAACAUUUGACAGUCUGAUCAAUCAAUAC